rnacentral:rRNA from 1 species
GCAUAUCAAUAAGCGGAGGAAAAGAAACCAACAGGGAUUGCCCUAGUAACGGCGAGUGAAGCGGCAACAGCUCAAAUUUGAAAUCUGGCUCCCUUGGGGGUCCGAGUUGUAAUUUGUAGAGGGUGCUUUGGUGUUAGCUGUGGUCUAAGUCCCUUGGAACAGGGCGUCACAGAGGGUGAGAAUCCCGUAUGUGGCCAGCAGCUUUCGCCUUGUAAAGCCCCUUCGACGAGUCGAGUUGUUUGGGAAUGCAGCUCUAAAUGGGAGGUAAAUUUCUUCUAAAGCUAAAUAUUGGCCAGAGACCGAUAGCGCACAAGUAGAGUGAUCGAAAGAUGAAAAGCACUUUGGAAAGAGAGUCAAAAAGCACGUGAAAUUGUUGAAAGGGAAGCGCUUGCAGCCAGACUUGCCCGUAGUUGCUCAUCCAGGCCUUGUGUCUGGUGCACUCUUCUGCGGGCAGGCCAGCAUCAGUUCAGGCGGUCGGAUAAAGGCUCUGGGAAUGUGGCUCCUCUCGGGGAGUGUUAUAGCCCAGGGUGCCAUGCGGCCAGCUUGGACUGAGGUCCGCGCUUCUGCUAGGAUGCUGGCGUAAUGGCUGUAAGCGGCCCGUCUUGAAACACGGACCAAGGAGUCUAACAUCUAUGCGAGUGUUUGGGUGUCAAGCCCGAGCGCGCAAUGAAAGUGAACGGAGGUGGGAACCCCUUGGGGUGCACCAUCGACCGAUCCUGAUGUCUUCGGAUGGAUUUGAGUAAGAGCAUAGCUGUUGGGACCCGAAAGAUGGUGAACUAUGCCUGAAUAGGGUGAAGCCAGAGGAAACUCUGGUGGAGGCUCGCAGCGGUUCUGACGUGCAAAUCGAUCGUCAAAUUUGGGCAUAGGGGCGAAAGACUAAUCGAACAUCUAGUAGCUGGUUCCUGC